rnacentral:lncRNA from 1 species
AAUUUUGUUUGGAUUAACUCAGUUAAAGCUUUACUAGCCAACAAAACCCUCAAUGUGGAUAAGGUGGAAGCAUAAAAUGAAUGGUGGCAAGACAGUGGAGAUAGAAGCGCUGGAGAUAGAAUCGCAAUGGUGGUGUAGGAAUCGGUCGAAGGUAAGGCGACAUUGGAUUCUUGAGAUGUAUAUAAAGAUGUGUUUUAGUUGCAAUUUAAAAAGUGGGGAGAAAAUUAGCGGUAGAAGUAGUCAAUUACAUUACCAUGAUUAUAAGAGAAUAAUUAUAGAAAUUAUUUUAUUUUAAUAUGAAAUUACCAAAUUACCCUUAUUAAUUUAAUUAAUGGUUUAAUUUUUUCUGACUUUACGUCCACACAGUAGAUUCUAGGAAUCAUACAUUCUUAGUGCUGCAUAAAGAUGAAAAAUUGUUAAUCAAAUAAAUAAAUAAAUAACUAUCUUUAUUGUAGUUCAUAUAUGUUUGAGGAAAAUCUAUCUUUAUUAUAGUUCAGAUAUGAUUGAAGAAAAUCUAUGGGCUUUCACCAAAGUUUCUAACAAAUUAUAGGUUCUAUAUCCAGAAAGUUAUAAGUGGUUUGAUUAAAAUCGAUACGGUAAGAACAAAAUGACCCUCAAGAAAAAUUAUAUUACAUGACAGACUUUCAUAUUCAUUCCAAUAACAAAAUCUUGAUUAAUAAGUCUUGUAGUGGCAUGCUCGAAAUACACACGGGAUAAUGAAAAGGGUGCUUGCAAACCUGUAGAUAACUUGUGUCAGAGCUUCAUUCAAUUGAGACAUUUCAACAAAGACAUAUGAUGCAUGAUCUAUUCAACCCAUCAGUUGAAUUAAGUAGGUUCGUUCACUAUUCAGAUAAAACUGAAUUAUCUAAUUAGACAAUUUGGAUUGGACUAUUUAGUUCGGAUAUUCGGAUUUUUGGAUUGGUUUUCAACGAAACCGAAUUAUUAUUUUGGAUUUCGGAUUGGUUUUGGUUUAUAAAAUAAGAACCGAAUAGUCCAAAAAAACCGAAUAAACAUUUAUUCUUUAUCUAUUUAUAAUAUAUAUCUAUAGUUAUUUAUUAAUUUUGUAAUUUAUUUUUUCAAAUAGGUGCAAAACGUUUCACCCGAUAAAAAAAACAUUAAUAUGCAUUUUCUUUCAAAAGUUUUGAAUCUAUAAAAUAUUUAACUAGAAUAUAUCUUUUUAUUAGUUGUUUAUAAAUUUCAAAUCAAAACAAAAUUAUUUGUUUUUGCUUCUUGUGUAAAGUUGAGUAAUAUUAUAAUUAUAUGUCGUUUUAAAGUGUUUCUGUUUUGAAAACCGAUCCAACCGAAUUGUAAUUGGAUUGGAUCGGAUCAGAUUUGAAUUUAGUUUGGACAAUUCGGAUCCAUGUUUUGAAAACCGAAAUCAAUUUGGAUUUACUUGAUUGGAUCGGAUCAAACCGAUCUAUCCAAACGAACACCCCUAGAAUUAAGACAUCAAUUAUUGGCUGUAUGAUUUGUGUUCUCAACUUUCAUUUUCCAAAUCUUGGAUCAAACACCUCCAAAACCUUUAAAGUUUUACAGAAUGAUCAUUGUUAAAACGAAUGGUGAAAUAUUCCAUGUUCUUCUUUUCUUUCACUAAAAUAUCCAGGAACAAACCACAAAUCUCAAAAAAAAAAAAAAAACAAAANAAAAAAAAAAAAAAAAAAAACAAAACUAUUUAAGAAUAACAUAUUAAAUAUUAUAAUCCGUAAAAAAUGAAAGUUUCAUAUUAAAACAUUAAAAAAAAAACUAUUUAAGAAUAACAUAUCUGAGAGGAGAUUGAUGUAGCAAGUUGUAAACAAAAGACACCUGAUAAAAAUUAUCGAAAUAUGAGGAAAUACAACCAAAAAAGAGUAGCGUGGAGGGAAGAAACUUAGGUUUACCAGAAGUUGUCGGAGAAGAUGACCAUCAAUUUUGAUUCUCUGUUCUUCCAUAGCGAGAUAUCUGUUUUGAGAGAGACCAAGAGUAGAAACGAUUGAGGUAAGAGUCGAUUGAAGCUUAGGAAAUGCAAUUAAAAUAUGAAAAAGAUCUUGCUUCCUGAUUUCUUGCUAUUUGAUAGUUGUUUUUAUUAGAAUAGAAGCGACUGAGGUAAGUCUGAUUUGAUAGUUGUUUUAUUAGAGGUAAGAGCCAGUUAAUCUUAGCAAAUGCAAUUCAAAUUUGAAAAUGAUAUUGCUUCAGGAUUUCACGCGAUUUAAUAGAUGUUUUAUUGAUUUUUCAGGCAACCCUCGUUAUUAAGUUUAGCAAAUGGAAUUCAAAUUUGAAAAUGAUAUUGCUUCCUAAUUUCAUGCAAUUUGAUAGCUGUUUAUUGAUUUCUUUGGCAACCCUCCUCGUUAUUCCAGCCGGCUUUAAUGGGCACGAACUUUGUAAGUUUAUAAGAGGACAAGGGUAUAAUAGAAACUUCACUUUGACAAUAUAGGCGAGAAAAUAAGAUGUGGGAGGGCUAAAGAGUUGCCACAUGGCAGUAGAUGUACUGUUUUAUUAGAAUAAGGGAUAAGGAUUUUUCUUAAGAAUUUCACCAAUUUUUUCAUAGGGUUGUAUAAAAUAUCAGAUUCUAGUUUUUAGUUUGUGAUGCAAGUUUGCUUCUCGAAUGCUAAAAAAUGGUAGAACCUCCAAGAAAGAAAUUCCAACCAUUUAUCGAAGAAUGAUAUUCUAUAGUGGAUAUGCAACUUUCAUCUAAAUAUAAACUUCUAAAACAUGAAAUGAAACCUAAGAUAACUCUAACCAUAUUUCAUGGUCCUUUUUAUAUACUUAAAUACUUUUUAAAUUACUUACCAGUAUUAAGUAUUAGGAUGGCUUGUUUACCUACCCAACCUCUCCAUGACAUAAGCAAUAUAUGUCAUGUUCCUUUUCAUGACACACAUGAAGCAACUAAUAGAUGGAGAACAUUCUAGUUUUGUUUUGACCUUAUACGUAUUGGGUUUCUAUUUCACACAAUGAAUAAUGGGAGUGCUCAUGAGAGUGUAAUCAAUAUAACAUAAUUUAGUGAGAAUUUUAUUAAUACAUCGUGAUUGUGCAAUAAUAGUUCCUUUCUUUACCCAUUGAAUAGGUGCACCAAGGAUUGCAUCUCUCUCACCAUGUCUUAUGUGGAAAUGUUUAUUACAAAAACUUCUAAGUUUUGUUUACUUGAUUUUGGUUUUGGUCUGUACCAAUAAUCAACAUGUCAGCUAAAUACAUGCAAAUAAAAUAAUGAUACGUAAAAUCCAUUAAUUAUACUAUUAAUAUUAUUGUUUGAUUUUGACAAUUGAGUUGAUUUAAUGAAUACGAAGAUGGAUACGAACAAAAGUUAUUUGAUAUCUAUAAUCAUAUUUGCACCAUAAACAUCAAAUUUACUAUAAAUGCAUUUUCAAAUUGGUAUAAAGUAAAACCACUUCUAAAAAUCACAUCACUCGAUAUUUUAUGUUAUUGUUUGGUGUGUUUGCUUCAGCUUCUAUGAUUUACAAGUACACAUGAAUGAACAAUUAGUCUAUUAUUAUGUUCAACUAUAAUGUUACACUAAUGAUCUACUCUUUGAUUUUGGCAGUAGCAUAACCGGAUAGGGGGAGUUCCCGAGGUCUAACCGACUACUCAAUUUCAACCUACAAGUGUAAAAAAUUGUAAAACAAAUAAGUUUUCUUGUAUUAAGGUGUAACCACUAAAAAUUUAUAUGCAACUACUAGUAUAUGUUGAAUGAAAAAAUGGAUGUUUUUAAUGCUUUAAAUUUUUGCACCCCGAACCAGUCUAGAGUAAAGAGAAAAAAUUUUGCACCCAAACCAGUCUAGUCUAGAGUAAAGAUUAUGUGUGUGUGUGAGAGAGAGAGGAUGUUGUAUGAUUUAGAAUGAGAAAUACAAUAUAUGAAAGGUUAUACAAGCUCUAAACCAUUAAGCUCGCAUCUGCAUUUUCUUUGACUUCUAAACCACAUCACUCUUGUAUUCCCAGCAUCACAACAUAUAAAUAUAUAAUCUAACGCGACCACCGUUUUUAGCCAAACUUGGUCCAGAAAAAUCAUAUCAAGUGAGUAGACAAGUGAAUUUGAAGAAUCAACCAUCAUAAGCGGGAGAGAUUUGAGCCAACAGGAAAGUAAGAGACUGGGAUCGGAGCUCCACGUGCUUUUGAAACUACUUGUUUUGCACCUUUCUUCGGAGCUUCUUCCUCGGAAACUCGUGGUGAGGAAAUGCAGCAAAAAACAGUCGAGAAGAAGCUAGCCAUAGCUUUGUGUAUGUAAAUCUCAACUCUCAAGCCUAAAGAUAGAGUAGAAAGAAUAUGUAAUUAUUUCUAGAUUAAUUUGUUUCUAUAUUAAUCCGGCAAUGAGUUUAUG